AAAGCGCGCGUAGGCGGUUUUUUAAGUCUGAUGUGAAAGCCCACGGCUCAACCGUGGAGGGUCAUUGGAAACUGGAAAACUUGAGUGCAGAAGAGGAAAGUGGAAUUCCAUGUGUAGCGGUGAAAUGCGCAGAGAUAUGGAGGAACACCAGUGGCGAAGGCGACUUUCUGGUCUGUAACUGACGCUGAUGUGCGAAAGCGUGGGGAUCAAACAGGAUUAGAUACCCUAGU
rnacentral:rRNA from 1 species